rnacentral:lncRNA from 1 species
GGGAUAUCAGAAAAAUGCAGAUGACUUUAAAUUUUCUGGAUUCAUGACAAGGAUUAUUGAUUACUAAUCCAAAGAGAGAAUAUAUGAAAGUCAUAUUUUAAAUUUAUGUGUAUGUGUACACACAUAUAUUUAAAUAUCUAUGUGUGCACACACACAUACACUUAGUUUUCAUUUACUCUUAGAAGACAAUAAUUAUUCAUUAGUUUUUAUCCACAGGAAAUUUGUAAUAUUUUAAGUUUUAGGAUAUCUAUUCUAUUCAAUUGCUGUAUUAACGUUUCAGCUUUCUUGUAAUUCAUAUCGUUUUAGUUCAUUAGUGAAUGCCUACUAUAUGCUAGAUUCUGUGAUAGGCACAAGAAUGAAUAAGACACGGUCCCUAUCAAGGAGCUUAUAAUCUGGAAAGGAGGGUGGUGGCAGAUACCUGAGAAACUAAUUACAAUAAUAGGCAGUCUGAUAUGCUGAAUAAAGAUUUGAACAACGUGCUGUGAAAACCCUGAGGGAGGAGAGAUUGUUUCUGUCCAAAAGAAUAUUCAAGGGUGGUAUUGACAGUGGAGCUGGACCCUGAGUGAUAACAUAGCUUUCCAUAACCAGAUUCUGGAGCUGGAAAUAUAGUGAGAAACGUAUUUUAGGCAGAACCACAAACUUCAGAAUAGGUAUGGAAAAGUGCAUUUUUCUUGGGUAAUAGUGAUUAAUAUGAUGACUGAAAGGUGUGGGCAUCUUAAACAGGGAAGUGAGAGAACACUUUGAAACCAAAAAUUUUAAAAGUAAGCAACUCUGUUUUGCCUAGUCAUAAAGGAAACUGUAGGGAAAACUAAGAGGUUAAGAAAUAAAGGUAAGGUGAGGAGACUAAAUGAUUCUUUUUUUUACCUUUGUUAGAUUUUCAUAAUGGCACUUCAUUUUGUUAGAAGAGCAUUUCAAGGCUGUUAUACAUAUCCAUAGUCAAAUGAAAGAAUAAAAUGUAUACUUUGAAACUCAUAUACAUGAUUUGUCAUUUUAUGUUUUAGAUUAUACCUUUGUCCUUCCAUGAGUUUGAAUUGAAUGGGGAGAAAAGCAGGAGAGCUCCUGGUAUUAGGUAUUUUGAAAAGUCUGGAACAGCAGUCUGAGAAACUUUUAUGAAGGGAUUGGGGAAAAGAAAAGAAUGCUAUAAAAUGUUUGUUACGUAUAGCAGAAAAGAAAUAGAUAAUUUAGUCGAAUUUUUACAAGCCAUUAGUUAAUUUAGUGUUCAGAGUUAGAAUCAAAAACCUAAUGUUUUCUUUUUUUAAAGAAGUAUUAAGUAGUAGUAUUUUGAAGGUACGGAUGGUGGUUUAAUUUGUUAGAUGCAGGAGAAAUGGCAUAUACAAAGUCUUAAUUUGGUAUUUCUUUGAUGCUUGUUUCUUGCAAGCAACAGAAUAGAAAUAAUUGAGUGGAUAACAGUUACUUUUGUUUCUUUAAUGUUCUAGCUUUAAAAAUACCUAUUGUAUUCGACUCAGAGAUCAGUGUUUAAAAGUGUC